rnacentral:tmRNA from 1 species
GGGGGUGUACAGGUUUCGACGGGGGUGUUGAAGCCGCAGAAGCGAGCCGCAGUCUCCCAGUCUGCGUUAAAAAGGGAAACUUAAAUACAAACGCUAGAAAUAAUAAUUUAGCUUACGCAGCUUAGUUAACGCUGCCUUGUCGGUCCGGACUCACCUGCAGGCCCGGGGCACCGGCAUCAUAAAUGCAGGAAACCUCGCGUGAAUUCCCGGCAGCGCGAGGGACUAACGGGAUAGCCGCCGGCAUAGCCUGCUUAUGGGCGCUGCCGAAAGCGAAACAAAAAAUCAUAAGCUGCGCUCGGAGACGCUGCCGUGGAGAUGCUUUCGGACAUGGGUUCGAUUCCCAUCACCUUCACCA